UACGUAGGGGGCAAGCGUUGUUCGGAAUUACUGGGCGUAAAGGGCGCGUAGGCGGCACGGCAAGUCAGGAGUGAAAGCCCGGGGCUCAACCCCGGAAUGUCUUUUGAAACUGCCGAGCUAGAGUGCGGAAGAGGCAACUGGAAUUCCCAGUGUAGCGGUGAAAUGCGUAGAUAUAUGGAGGAACACCAGUGGCGAAGGCGGCUCUCUGGUCUGUAACUGACGCUGAGGCUCGAAAGCGUGGGGAGCGAACAGG
rnacentral:rRNA from 1 species